CAUGCCGCGUGCAGGAUGACGGUCCUAUGGAUUGUAAACUGCUUUUAUACGAGAAGAAACACUCCAACGUGUUGGAGCUUGACGGUAUCGUAAGAAUAAGGAUCGGCUAACUCCGUGCCAGCAGCCGCGGUAAUACGGAGGAUCCAAGCGUUAUCCGGAAUCAUUGGGUUUAAAGGGUCCGUAGGCGGUUUAGUAAGUCAGUGGUGAAAGCCCAUCGCUCAACGGUGGAACGGCCAUUGAUACUGCUAAACUUGAAUUAUUAGGAAGUAACUAGAAUAUGUAGUGUAGCGGUGAAAUGCUUAGAGAUUACAUGGAAUACCAAUUGCGAAGGCAGGUUACUACUAAUGGAUUGACGCUGAUGGACGAAAGCGUGGGUAGCGAACAGGAUUAGAUACCCUGGUAGUCCAAGGGCG
rnacentral:rRNA from 1 species